GAUGAACGCUGGCGGCGUGCCUAAUACAUGCAAGUCGAGCGAACAGACGAGGAGCUUGCUCCUCUGACGUUAGCGGCGGACGGGUGAGUAACACGUGGAUAACCUACCUCUAAGACUGGGACAACUUCGGGAAACCGGAGCUAAUACCGGAUAAUAUAUUGAACCGCAUGGUUCAAUAGUGAAAGACGGUUUUGCUGUCACUUAUGGAUGGAUCCGCGCCGCAUUAGCUAGUUGGUAAGGUAACGGCUUACCAAGGCGACGAUGCGUAGCCGACCUGAGAGAGUGCUCGGCCACACUGGAACUGAGACACGGUCCAGACUCCUACGGGAGGCAGCAGUAGGGAAUCUUCCGCAAUGGGCGAAAGCCUGACGGAGCAACGCCGCGUGAGUGAUGAAGGUCUUCGGAUCGUAAAACUCUGUUAUUAGGGAAGAACAAAUGUGUAAGUAACUAUGUACGUCUUGACGGUACCUAAUCAGAAAGCCACGGCUAACUACGUGCCAGCCGCCGCCAACA
rnacentral:rRNA from 1 species